rnacentral:lncRNA from 1 species
GUGCAGACCUCACCCUCUCCACGACCUGGGGCGUGUCUGUGGCUGACGGGCAGGAGCGCUGUUAUGGAGUUGGCGGUGGACCUCACGAGUGCCGAGUGCAUUUGCUCCCCGGGGAGGCUCGAUGCUCAGGGACUCCAGGCCUCGGCGUCUGCAGCAGAUAAUCACAGAGGCUUGCCAGGUGGCCUCCGGUGAGCUCCGUGUGGCUGCAGCCCAGCUGGAAUCGCUGAGAUUAGGGAGGAAGAGGGGCCGGUUCCUCAUAGCCCGUGGCACGUGGGAAGGAUGCGCCCCCGGCGUAGAGCCCGCGCUGGGGACCACAAACACGCCCCUCCAGCUGCUACCCACUUUCAUAUUCUGUUCAGGAGCUACCUGGUAGGUUUUUUGGUUAAUUUUCAAUGAAUGUAAGUCUAUAUUUCUAAUGUAUAGGAAUAAAACAAACAAAGAAGUAGUCUAUCCACAACACACUUCCCAGGGGUUGGGCAGCAGUGGGCUCAGUCCUGCCAGAAUCGGCCCCACAGGAGCAGCCCCAGCAGCCGGGACCUGGAGCCUGAGGCCAGCGCCGCAGAGGUUGGAAUCCGGAAAGGAAGGCGCCCUCCAAAAUGACGUGCAGUGAGUCUGGAUGACUUGAGGAAAAGAAGAAGAACAUGCAUUUUGGAUGUCUAUUUACAACAACACUGAUUUCUUAGAUUUAGAGAAGGUGGCAAAACCCUCCACUGAAUGUGAUUAAAGUCGUGGAGAGCAAGGUGGGACCCAGGCCGGCAGCAGCAGCAGCGAAAUAGAUCAACAGACAACAGGGUGUUCAGGACCCAGUUCAGGGCUGGAGAGGACAGAGAUCAACAAAGAACUUGGUCAUCGCCAAGGAGCCCGAUGCCGGGUGAGUGUGGACGGCAGCUCACGGGAGCCCUGCCCGUGCCCAUCCUGGUCCAGCCACGCUUGCUCGAACCACAGAGAGGGACAGCUCAGCCCACAGCUACACAGAGGAAGAGCCUGGGCAGCUGCCCACAGCCCCAGGGAUCAGGCCUAACAUUUUCCUAAAACUUCCUAUCUGUGUUGCCUUUUCCACUCGCACCGUCUCACUUACGCCACAGGCUGGGAGGUAAGCAGGGCACGUAUAGUCCCCACCGGGCACUGGGAUCUGAAGCAGUCGGCGACUUGCCUGGGGACAGGGCUGCUCCACAGAUCUGGGCAUCAAGCUGAGGUUCCGGCUCCAAGCCCUGUCGCCUUCUCGCCUCUUCAUUUGCUUUGUGGCAUCACAGCCUAAGCAAAAAGGAGAAAGCAGUUCGCUCAGGAUGGGAGUACUCUCGUCCUGGCUUCCGGAAGGUUCCCGACACAGGUCCCCUCCUCCUACGGUGCAGGCCCCGGCGCUUACGGAGCCACUUCCCAGCCUCCCUGGCAGCCUCAGCACCACGCUGUCUCCGCUGCCGCUUUAACUGUGGACGUGGUGACCAGCAGCCUUCCAGAGGUGGCCCCUCCAGGAACGGUGGCAUCAGCUCUGUGCAGGGAGGACAGCUGCUCCCAGACGAAGGGAGGAGGCCUGGGUCCCCACACAGUCCCUGAUUCAGGGUCGUGCUGGACACGUAUUCUGCACGGGGCAGAUUAUGCGGAUUUUAGCCUUGUGGAUCCUACAGCCGCAGCCACAGAAAGAUGGAGACAAGGGCACGUGGCUGUGUCCCAGGAAAACUCUCUCUACAGCUGCCGGCCACUUCUGGCCGCCUCCCGGUCUAGACGCUCACAUGAGAGAAAAACAGAUUUAAAAAAUCAUUUAAGCCAUUGCCUCAAGGCCAUUUCACAAAUCCAAUGACAGGCCAAAUUGGGCAAGCACAACUAUGAGUAAGGCCUAUUCCAAUAUUACAGAAAAUCUGCAAGACAGUUUAGAGGCGAGGUUCCGCCAUACCUGCCAGAUCGCCCAACCCCUGGGGCGACACCAGGCUGAGGACACACAUUUCUACUUCUCGUCUCUGUGCCUUUGACCUUCCCAUCCCUCAUGCUUCUCCAGCUUUGUGGCUCCCCACAGGGCUGUGUUUAUUCUGUGAUCACUGCCCAUUUUGGAGGUCACAAGCUCUGGAGCUUACAGGAACUGGGCAGGACAUUAAAAAGCAGCGUGUGGGGAGUGCUGUGGGGAACUCACGGGCCCUGUCCCAUGGAAAAUAUUCAAGUUCAAACGUUAGUAGAACAUCACGAGGGUCAAACAAAAUACGCCUGCAGGCAGGACCUCUGAUUUAUGUUAGCGCUGGGUGUCUCCGCCUACCCACAAGGCAGCGCCAGAACCACCGCCUGGCUCUUAGCACAAAAUCUGCUCAUAAGUGGAUGCUUAGGGAGUGUUUGUUGAACUGAACAGAGGUGAAUUAUAGGCUAUUACCCCAAGACUCUGAAAUAGUAGACAUGUUCUGUGAAAACCUAGGGGACCUUUUUCCAAAUCGGGGGCCGAUUAAUUCAGCUGUUGGAGGCUCUGGCCCCCAUGCAGACUGAAGCCUCGGUUCAGGGCCAGCGGAUGGCAGAGGUGCGGCAGGGUCAGAGCUGCGAUCCCUGCAGAUCCUUCAGCACUGGAGGAGAAACAGCCAAAGGGCAGGCGUGGCCCAGAGCCAGCGGCAGCUCUCCUGCACCAGCCUGGGCAGAGACGGCAUGAACAGAGAGUAAAGUGUUAAGUCCAGGGAUGCUUCCCCCAACAUUAUUUGAUGGUCUCUUUCUUAAGAAAACAAAGGAAGCAACAAUGUUUCAACGUGCCUCUUCAGGUAUCCUCAGUGAUUUAUAUUAAAAACCAGAGCCUUUAGAAACAUCUUGAAAUCACACUCUCCAGACUCACCCCAAAAUACCCAACAGUGAAGGAGGACUUACUGUCCCACUAGAAUGGGCACUUUCUCUGGAGGGAGGAGAAGGUUGUCUAAAGACACUAACAGUAGGUGGGGCUUGUCUAGGCCUGUGGGGGACGGGGCAUGGUGGGGGUGUGGGGAGGGACCGCCUUCCACCAGAAAGGAUGAAAUGAGCUGGAUUUUCAUGUCAUAAACAGAUUUACUCUCCAUGUCCUGAUGUGUAUAAACCUUUAAAAAGACUCUAGAAAUGCUAUAAUAUUCAGAGCAUUCUCUCUGGAUGGUGAGACUAUAAUUUUUUCUUACUUAUUUUUAAUAUAAUUUCAGUUGUCUUCAAUAUAUAAAUAUUACUUUUAGAAUGUAGGAAAUAAGUGUAAU